ACUAUCAACGGAUCUCUUGGCUCUCACAUCGAUGAAGAACGCAGCGAACCGCGAUAUUUUGUGACUUGCAGAUGUGAAUCAUCAAUCUUUGAACGCACAUUGCGCGGUAUGGCAUUCCGUACCGCACGGAUGGAGAGGAGCGUGUUCCCUCUGGGAUCAUUGCUUUCUUGAAAUGGAUUUUUAAACUCUCGAAUUAUUACGUCAUUUCACCUCCUUCAUCGAGAUUACCCAUGAACAAGCAUAUCCAAUAAGCGGAGGAAAAGAAACCAACAGGGAUUGCCUCGGUAACGGCAGUGAAGCGGCAAAAGCUCAAAUUUGAAACCCUCGGGAUUGUAAUUUGAAGAUUUGGCGUGGAGAAAUAGCAAGUUGCUUGGAAUAAUAGUACGUCAUAGAGGGGUGACAACCCCGUCUGGCUAACCAUUCUCCAUGUAUUGCCUUAUCAAAGAGUCGAGUUGUUUGAGAUACAGCUCGAAGUGGGUGGUAAACUCAUCUAAACUAAUACUGGUGAGAGACCGAUGGCGAACAAGUACUGUGAAGGAAGGUGAAAAGAACUUUGAAAGAAAUUGAAAUAGUAUGAGGUGGUGAUAGGGAAGGAAAUGGGUGGAGAGUGGCCGAGGUUUCAAUAUGCGCCCCUCGUGGGCGGUGUACUGCCAAACGCCGGUCAUCGAUGUGAGACAGGGGUUACAAAUGGGAGCACUUGUGAACGUUCUCUAACCACCUCCACACCUGCACCGUGACAUAAUCCACCAUUUCACCGUCUUGAAACACGGACAAGAGUCUAAUGGAUAUGAGUGUUAGGGUGGCAAACCAGCGCACAAUGAAAGUGAAUGGAUUCGUUCAGAAUCGACCGAACUUGAUUAUUAUGACAGUUUUGAGUAAACAUCCAUUGGGACCCGAAGAUGGUGAACUAUGCCUGGAUAGGGUGAAGUCGGGAAACUCUGAUGGAGGCUCGUAGCGGUUCUGACGUGCAAAAUCGAUCGUAGGAUCUGGGUAUAGGGGCGAAGACUAAUCGAACCAUCUGGUAGCUGGUUCCUGCCGAAGUUCCUCAGGAUAGCAGAAGCUCAUAUCAGUUUUAUGAGGAGAAUUAAAGCGAAUGAUUAGAGGUAUUGGGGGGCGAAAUGCCCACUCGGCCCCAUUCUCAAACUUUAAAUAUGUAAGAGCCUUGGUUGCUUAAUCCCAGACCGUGGUACGAAUGAAGGAAAUACAAUUGGGCCAUUUUGGUAAGCAGAACUGGCGAUGCGGGGAUGAACCGAACGUGGAGUUAAGGUGCCGGAAUACACGCUCAUCAGGCCUACAAAAGGUGUUAGUUUAUCUAGACAACCGGACGGUGGCCAUGGAAGUCGGAAUCCCGCUAAGGAGUGUCACAACUCACCGGCCGAAUAGACAGCCUGAAAAUGGAUGGCGCUUAAGCGUGUUACCUAUACUCUACCGAGAGGGGUUUCCUCUCUCAGUAGGCGAGCGUGGGGGUUGUUGAGAGAAGCGUUGGCCGUGAGGCUGCGUCGAACGGCCCCUAGUGCGGAAUCUUGGUGAGUAGUAUAAAUAUUCAAAUGAGAACUUUGAAGACUGAAGUGGGGAAAGGUUCCGUGUGAACAGCAGUUGGACUGGGUAAGUCGAUCCUAAGAGGUGGCAUAACUGUCGCGUACAGCCCGAUAAGGGCCUUCUCCAAAGGGAAACCGGUUGAAAUUCCGGCGCGGAUGUGGAUUCUCCGCGGCAGCAUGUGGCUGAAUGUGUGGGGACGGUGGCUGGAAGUCUUGGAAGGAGUUAUCUUUUCUUUUAGCAGGUCUUACCCUGGAAUUGUUUGUCUAGAGAUGGGGUAUCGUUCCGGAAGAGGGGAGACGACUUUGUCCCCUCCGAUGCACUAAUGACGCCUUGAAAACCCGCGGGAAGGAAUAGUUUUCACGCCAAAGUCAUUUUGAUAACCGCAGCAGGUCUCCAAGGUGAACAGCCUCUAGUUGAUAGAAUAAUGUGUAGAUAAGAGAGUCGGCAAAAUAGAUCGUAACUUCGGGAUAAGGAUUGGCUCUGGGGGUUGGUGGAUGGAAGCGUGGGAGACCCAAGGGACUGGCGGCAACUAGCCGGACCCGCGGCAGACCUGCGUCGAUCCAUCAUCAACCGCCCCAGAACUGGUAUACGGACAAGGGAAUCUGACUGUCUAAUUAAAACAUAACUGCGAUGGUUGUAAAACAAUGUUGACGCAAGUGAUUUCUGCCCAGUGCUCUGGAGAAUGUCAAAGUGAAAUUCAACCAAGCGCGGGUAAACGGCGGGGUAACUAUGACUCUCUUGGGUAGCCAAAUGCCUCGUCAUCUAGUGGUAUGAAUGGAUUAACAGGGUCCCACUGUCUAUCUACUAUCUAGCAGGAAACCGUAGGGAACGGGCAGCGUCGGCGGAGAGGGCCUGUUGAGCUUGACUCUGGUUUGACAUUGUGAAGAGACAUGGGGGUGUAGAAUAAGUGGGAGCUUCGGCGGUGAAAUACCACUACCCUUAUCGUUCUUUACUUAUUUAGUAAGUGGAGGUGGUUUAACUUAACCAUUUUCUAGCAUUCCUUCCAGGCUGAAGACAUUGUCAGGUGGGGGUUUGGCUGGGGCGGCACAUCUGUUAAGAUAACGCAGAUGUCCUAAGGGGACUCAAUGGAGAACAGAAAUCAUGUAGAACAAAGGGUAAAGUCCACAUGAUUUUGAUUUUUCAGUGUGAAUACAAACCAUGAAAGUGUGGCCUAUCGAUCCUUUAGUUGUUCGGGUUUGAACCUAGAGGUGCAAGAAAAGUUACCACAGGGAUAACUGGCUUGUGGCAGUCGAAAGGCGUUCAUAGCGACAUUUAGCACUGAUCCUUCGAUGUCGGCUCUUCCUAUCAUGCGAGCAGAAUUCGGUGAAAGCGUUGGAUUAUUCACCCACUAAUAGGGAACGUGAGCUGGGUUUAGACCGUCGUGAGACAGGUUAGUUUACCCUACUGAUGGACUUGUUGCAAUGGUAAUUGAACUGGUACGAGAGGAACAGUUCAUUCGGAUAAUUGGUGUUUGCUGCUGUCUGAUCAGGCAGUAAGCGAAGCUGCAAAUCGCUGGUUAUGGCUGAACGCCUCUAAGUCAGAACCCAUGCUAGAAGUGAUGAAUUGGGGGGUGGGAUGGAUAUGAAUAAGUAUCACUUGAGUACCGGAGGGGGGAGUUUGGGUGGAUAAGGAAAUUGUCUGCUCUUCCUGAUUGUAAAGGUGCCCUUGA
rnacentral:rRNA from 1 species